CUGCAAGCACUGCCACAGGGAAGCGUGUCCAUGUGCCGUGUGCCUCACCGUGCGCGCUCACCGCCACCUGUACAGCUGUGAGGAGACGGAAAGGAGGCGGGUGGCUCAGGCAGGGCUGGUCAAGCUUGAGGCCCUGCAGGGAGGACACAGGUCGCCCACCCAGUACACAGAGGACACAAACGGAGUUGGCCUUCUGCUUGGUGUUGGCUCCCUGCCCAGUGCACAUCCCUUCACCUUCUGCUCUGUAAGUACCUUUUCUAGGUGGAUCUGCUGCUCCAGCAUGGCUACCCGCAGCCUGAGAGUUCCCAGGGUCUUCAGCUGUUGAGUGCUGGAGUAGAGAAGGAGCUGGGGGCCCCAAGAAGUACAUACAUGACCGCCAGAGGGUAAUGAGGCCUGGAGAGGCCUCCCCAUGAGAUUAGAUCCUGGUAACUGUUCUGUCAGAGCUGUGAAGACCAGAGGACAUGGCCUUAUGGGUGGACAGCCAGGCCCAGGGCUCCACAUCAUUUUAGCCAUGGUGGGGGCUCUCUCUGAGAGGUUUGCCCAUCCCAUAAUCCCAAGCCUGUCUUUCCCAGUAUCCAUUCCCCACCCCUGGCUUUUUCUUUUGGUAUACUGGAGAUUGGACCUACUGAGCACUGAGUUACAUCCCAAUCCUCCAUACACCCCAUUUUUGAGACAGUCUCCUUAGUAUUCCACGGUUGUCUUGAACACACUAUUGUAGCUCAAGUGGGCUUUGAACCUCAGGCCCUUCUACCUCAAUCUCCUGAAAGCUAGGUGCUCAGAUUAAAGGUAUGUACCACUAUGUCCAACUUAUUUCGUUUUUAUUUGGAUAGAGGGUCUUGCUAAGUUGCUCAGACUGGCCUCAAACUUCUGCUUUCCUGUUUCACUCCUGUGCAGCAGGGAUUACAGCAGUGUACCACCACAUCUGGCUUGCUUGACUUUAAAAGGUGAAAAUCUAUGCUUUCAGAACAGCUCAGUGUUUGGCAGUGUGGUGGGCUUGCCUGGGCUUGAUGUAGCAAGGACAGAACUUUGUGGAGUCACCCUUUACCUACUGGGUUUCUUUGUUGUUUUUGGAGACAGAGUCUUGCUGUAUAAUCCAAGCUGACUUUGAACUUGCUAAGUAGUCCAGGUUACCUUUAAACUUACCAUUCUCCUGCCUCAGCCUCCUAAGUACUGUGAUUAUAGAUUAUGUGCCAUCAUAACUGGCACCUGGGUUUCUUCACUGUGCUUGUGACUUUCUUGAGCCUAACUUUGUUUUUGAUAGAUGACAAAUCUUCAUUCUUAAAACUUGUACUUAAAAGAUUCAGAGGAGCUGGGCAUGGUGGUACACAACUGUAAAACCAGUUUCAGAAAUGAGACAGAAUUUGCAGCGGGUGGUGGUGUGUGUACCAGGAAUCAAACUCAGGACCUUACACUUGCCAGGCAGGUACUUUGCCACUGAGCUAAAUCCCCAGCCCCAGCAGAAUGAAGUUUAAGUUUGAAGCCAGUCUAGGCCAUUUAGCAAGAUACUCUAUCAGAUUAAAAUAAGAAGUGCAAAAAUGCCAGGGUAAUCCUAGCACUUAGGAGGCUGAGGCAGGAGGAUUGGCUGGUUCAAGGCCAGCCUGGGCUACAAAGUGAUUUCAAGGCCAGCUGAAUUACACAGUGAGAUCCUGUCAAGACAGACAGACAGACAGACAGACAGACAGACAGAAAAGAAAGAAAGAAAGAAAGAAAGAAAGAAAGAAAGAAAGAAAAAAGAAAGUAAAAACAAGAAAAGAAGGAAAAAGGGCUGGGAACAUAGAUUAGUGGUAGAGUACUUACCUAGCAUACAAAAAGGCCCUGGAUUCAAUUCCUGGUACAGGGAGUAAAAUGCAGGACCAAAGGAGAAAAGCAGCUCUGUUGCUCAGUUACCCUUUAAGUACCUGAGUAAACAAACUGCUCAGUUUGGUGAGGUUCUGUCUGUCAAGAGGGUAAAGGAACUGUUCUAAGCAGGUAAGGAUGGCUGGCUAGUCCCAAGGACGACUGGUGAUAAUCCAGUACUGGUGAGGGGGGAGAAUGAGGGUGCUUGCCUUUAGUCCCUGCACUGCUCACCCUUCCUUAAAACAAGGGCAAGAUGGGCUAAUGUGCCAUGUUUUGAUCUAGACAUUGGUACAGGUGGUAGAUGGAUGAGGCCUUACCUGUACAGAGUUCCUGCACCUUAUGGAGAUACUGCUGAGCCAUGGUCUGCAGCCCCUCCAGAAUGAGCAGGCAUUGGUACUCCUGCAUCCAGUCUACAGGGGCUACACAACAGGGAGGGGAGGCUGCAUCCAUGCUGUUCCUGCAACCUGCCCUACUCACCCCCUCCCCAAGCCCUAGUCUAGGCUGACCUGCUGAGAGCUCUUCUUGCAUGCGUCGUCUAAGUAGUGCACAGGCUUUCUGCAGGCGUUGGGUCUCCAUCUCUAUCUCCACGGCACUGAACUUGGAGCUGGAUGUGCUUGACUGGAUAUGGGUCAGGAAAACUCUUCUAUGGCUAGAAUUCAGUUCCCACCAUGGAAAUGGUUGGGAGAGAGACUGGCGAUUCCACCAAGGAACCUCCUGGGGCUGCUACUUAAACCUGCUUAAGCUUAGAGUAGAAAGUCACCAGGCUCCCACAGUCCCAGCAAGGAUACAGAUAUCUGCAUUUUCUGAAGGAACUGGGUUUUGGCAGCACUGGUGGCAUCUGUGGAAUCAUUGGUUUGUGUGGAGUUGAGCUGGGUCCAUAGGCUAGAAUACAUACCGAGGUACCCGAGGAAGCAAACAGAGGCAGUUAUUCUAGUCAAUUGGGCUAGGAAUUAGGAGAAAGGUCAGGGAUAGGGUAGAGGCCCCAGGCAGGGUAGAUGGCUCUGCUGAAUACCAGCAGGGGCUUUAAGGGGGCACUGGGAAACUUAAAGGACACUGACCAAGAUAAUAGACAGGGAACAGAGCUGGUCAGGGAAAUACUAAGAGAAAGAACAUGGGUGGAACUCAGUGUUAGGCCUUAUCUAGCACAAAUAAAGCUCAACACACAUAUGGGGAAAAAAAAAAAGUACUAAAAGAAAAUUGAGCCAGGUAUAGUGGCAUAUGCCUGGAAUUCCCAGCCCUUGGCUACAGCAAGAGGAUCGCUGUGAGUUCAAGGCCAGCCUGAACUGCAUAGUGAAGCCAUAUCUCAAAAAAGAACUAAAAAGAACCACCAUCCCCAACCAAAAAAUUAAGGAUAAAGGAGCUGGCAGUGACCAAUUACUAUGACUGGUAAGAGACUUAUGUGCUUGCUCUGUAUAAUGCAUAAUGCAAAUACAUGAACGGCACCAUUAGAAUCCUCCACCCCCAACACUUCUAUGAAGCUGAGCCUACUGUCUGGGGUUUGGGGACACCAAGUAUCAUGUUUAGGUCUUACAACUUGUGAGUGUCUGAGGUAGGGGUCUCAAAACUCCCUGAACCUGAGGCAACUAUAUAGUAGUCCUAGCUGGACAAACUGAACACAGAUAGUGACAAUGUCCAGUAAAGAAAGACAAGACCUGCUACAAGUGUUGCCUAUAUCUCUCAGCUGGUGAUGUUUUCCAUAUGUCCUUCUGUCCCUACCCAGCCUUACCAGGAAUUCCGGGAAGCCGCCUUCCUGAAGGCCAAGGGCAGCUUUAGCAGGGUCCUGUCAGAGAAGCCAGUAUUUAGAGUAACCUCAUUUUACUUCAGGGGCUUCCAGUCAUUUUUCCUGCUCAUAUCUCAUUAGUGGUAAGACUCUUCACUCUCUCCCCAGUUUUAUCCCUCACCCACCUUUUGUGCUUCUGGGGACUGAACCCAGGGCCUUUGUAUUGACCUAGAUCCCUAGUCCCUUUUAUAUAUUAAAACACGGGGUAAAUUGCUAAAUUGCUCAGGCUGGGCUCAUACUUGCAGGCCUCUUCCUUCAGCUUCCUGGAGUACUGGGACUAUAAGCAUGUGCCACCACAAGCACCAUUGGAAGGGGCUUUCACAGUGGCAAGGGAGCUAGCCUGUCCUAGUACCUGGCUGGGAGAAGACAGGACACUAUAAACCAGGCAUGGUGGCACAUGACUGAGGCAGCCUGAACUGCACGGUGAGACUCUGUCUCAAAAAAAAAGCAAAACACCAACAAAGCAAGAGAGAGAAUACCAUAAGUAGAGCCCAAGUGCUCAGAACUCACCUGGAGCCCCUGGGCUGGGUAAAUAAAAGGGUAGCUGGUGGAGAUGGCAGGUCAGCCUCCAGCAUGUCAAACCUGGUACCAUCCCAGCCACCUGCUGCAGUUGGCCAGCUGCAGAACAUAAGUCUCAUAGGGUGAUACUCGUGACUCCCACAUCUAGUUCAAUGCCCUUCCCUCUCUGUACCACACGGCCCAGACUCCCGCUGUUGGAAGGGGGUCUCAGCAGGUAGAGACACAAAUUUUUCAGUCUGUCAGGAAAACCUACCCCUUCUCCUUGAGUGUGAAGGUUUCUGCUGUAUGAUGAGCAGGUGACAGGGUCAUUUUUUUCCCAUGGUUCAAUUCAAGCCUGGUGGCUUGGGCUCCUAGCCCCACAUGAGACCUGUUUCUCACCAAUGGAAGCCUGUGCUCAGCGUGACCCUUGGUAGGCACCGUAGUCUGAUGGAUACCCUUCAUGGGUCUUGUCCUUGAAGAAUAGUGGGCAGCCCGGCUGGAGGACUGGGGUAGGGCAGAGGCAGUGGUGCCAGAAGAUAUAGCAAUGGACCCAGAUUUCAGGCUGGGGGUUCUGCCUCUUUCUCCAGAUUUAGAGAUGCCUUUCCGCACCCGUAUUGCCUUCUCCAGUGCUUGGGUCAGAAGCUCCAUCUCCUUGAGGUCUUGGGGGUUUGAUGUGCAUGCUGUGAAAGCCAAGACACAUACAGGGGUUCCCUCUCAAGACCCCAGAAUGGGUCCCUUAGCACUGCACAUGAGAUACCAGGGGAAGCACCUGGAGAAGGUAGAUGGAGGUUUACCUGGAGAAGGAUCCUCUUUUUUAGUUUCUGACCCAGGAGGUGGCUCCACAGCUGUGGUCCCUGCUGGUUCCCUACAAAGACAGAGCAACCAUCGUUCAAAUUCCAUCCUACUGCCUCACAAGCCUUGAAGUCUGCAGGGUAACGGAGAUGGCACUGACAACUAGCAUCUUGGAAGUGGGUAUUCCAAGAAUACGAAUACGAGGGAGGACCGGAUUCCUGCAAUCCGCAUACCAGGCCUGCAGCAGCCGCCGGGAGACGCGUAGGCUUUGCUCCAGUUGCCGCUGUCGCUCUGCGCAGACGUCCAGCGCACCCUGAAGCUCAGACACCAGCCUGGGAGAAUACACCGACGACUCAGCAGCCCGACAGGGAUCAGGCCUCGGGCCACGCGCCCUACAGCCCCAUUCCCUCUGCGUGGAACCUACCGACGGGCGCAGUCAGCCGGCAGCAUGACGGCCAUUCCGAUUCCUGGAGCUUUGCAGUUUGUUUCCCCGCUUCCGCGCACGAGACCGCCCCUUCCGACCUGGCCACCCAAUCCCGAGAGCAGCGCUCAGCCCCGCCCACUACAGAUUUGCCUAGUCGGAACCUGAAUCACCAAGAUCUCAGGCGACUGACAGAAGCUUCUCGUUUGGAUUACCGGUACGCGAGGGCAUCACUCUUAAAGUCCCCUUGCAGAGCACCUUUAAUUGUUUGCUUUAUGUCUUAAUCUGACCUGUCGAACGCUCUUAAAACAGAGAUGAGCUCUCUUGCUGAACCCAGGGCCACCUAGCACUAGAUCAGGCGCAUGAAUGAGGGAAGAAUGAUAUGUUUAGGAUUGGCAACUGGGCACAAGAAUUCAGUUUUGGAAAUGACGUGUAGUGAUGACAUCCGGGAAAGUAUCAGGCACCUGGAUAGCUAUGAAGCCCACUUUCAAAGCAGGUGUACAUGAACCAUGGGUGUGACAAGAUGGCUCAAGGUGGGAUAUGUAGACAGGAAAGGAACCCAGAGAACUGACAGCAGGAAAAACAGCAGGGGUCAGGUGUGUUCUAGGAGGGGGCCAUGGACAAGAUGCUAAAGGCUGAGCAUGGAAUGAAAUCCAGGCCUCAGUGAAUGUCACUCAGGUACAGCUGCCAAAGGUUCCUGGAUAUAGAUACUGCUAGAAGCAAGGGCAGCAGCUCCAGUAGAAUAAACAAUGAAUUCCUACCCCUAAAGAGGCCAAGAAAUCUCACAUGGCAGCUGGAUGACCAGCCUUGGGUAUGGCUUAAGUAUAGAAAGAGGUUAGAAGACACAGGUGAGGAGGUGCUGAAGGUGCCUACCAGAGAAGUGAAAUGGGGCUGGGACCCAAGUAAUAACUGUAGAGGAAAGAGGAAAAUCUCCAAACAGUACUUAAGUAAAGGAAACUGUUAGGGUUUGUCUGGGUGUCGCCCCAAAGCUUCAUGUGGUCGUUUUUUUCUUCUUUGGAGGUAACUAAAUAUGAAGUGAUUGAUUUGUAGGGCAGUGCUGGGAUUAAGGAUGGGUGAUUGCUGGAUCUGCCCACUAAUUGAAUUGGCACCAUCCUAAUUGAUAAAAUACAAGAGAUACCAGUCUCAUUGCUCUUGGUGUCUUCCACUGCCAUGAACUGUUGCCCCUCUGCCAUUUGCUAUUCUACCUUGGAGUCAGCUGAUUAUGGACUGAAACCUCUGUAAACUGUGACCUAAAUAAACCUUUUCUCCUUUAA